rnacentral:siRNA from 1 species
UAUAUGUCUUAAUACUUCAACUUU